rnacentral:rRNA from 1 species
AUUGAACGCUGGCGGCAGGCCUAACACAUGCAAGUCGAGCGGAUGAAGGGAGCUUGCUCCUGGAUUCAGCGGCGGACGGGUGAGUAAUGCCUAGGAAUCUGCCUGGUAGUGGGGGAUAACGUCCGGAAACGGGCGCUAAUACCACAUACGUCCUGAGGGAGAAAGUGGGGGAUCUUCGGACCUCACGCUAUCAGAUGGGCCUAGGUCGGAUUAGCUAGUUGGUGGGGUAAAGGCCUACCAAGGCGACGAUCCGUAACUGGUCUGAGAGGAUGAUCAGUCACACUGGAACUGAGACACGGUCCAGACUCCUACGGGAGGCAGCAGUGGGGAAUAUUGGACAAUGGGCGAAAGCCUGAUCCAGCCAUGCCGCGUGUGUGAAGAAGGUCUUCGGAUUGUAAAGCACUUUAAGUUGGGAGGAAGGGCAGUAAGUUAAUACCUUGCUGUUUUGACGUUACCAACAGAAUAAGCACCGGCUAACUUCGUG